rnacentral:lncRNA from 1 species
GUCAUCUACCUAGAUCAACACCGAGGCUCUUCACAUAACAUAGUUAAACAUAAUGCCAUGGGGUGCACGACGGCACCAAUCGACAUCUAUUCAUACAAUGCAGAUGAAGGAUAUGAAGGAGAUUUACUUCAAACAGUUUCUUGAAUACACAAUAGAAUGAGUUAAUAUUAGGUUUAGCACACUGACUUUUUAUUCUUUUUCAAGUUUUAUUCAUGUAUAGAGAAACCAAAUGAUAGGGUGGAUUGGUCCUUAAACCAAUGUUUCAUUGGGAGAAAAAUAGAGUUUGGAAGGUAAUUUUAGCCACCUGAGACGGAUUCCGACUCUGGUGGCUAUAGGUGUUCCGGUUGAAGUUCUACCGGUUGCCGAAAAGGCUACAUUGUUUUAUUGGUUUAUUAAAUUUAUCGCUUAUAUUAUAUUUAAUUUGAAGUGAGUAACUAAAGACAAUUAAUCACGUUAUAAAUAUUUUUCUUAGUCAAUUAUACAUAAUUUUGAUCGGUGUAAUAAUAAAUUUAACUCUUAAUAUUCAUAUAAUUUGUGUAGAUAUUGAUAGAAUAUGUAAAUAUUGCAAAUUAACAUUGUUAAAUCAUGACCAAAUUGACAAAAUAUGUAAAUGUUAUGGGUUAAAUUUGUUAAAUCAAUAUCAAGUUGAUAGGAUAUGUAAAUAUUAAAAGUUAAUUUUGUUACUAUAUCGAUAGAAAAAGUAUAAUUGAUGAAAAAAUAUUAAUGUUAUGAUUAAUCGUUAUUAGUUGCUUACUUUCAAAAUUGACAAUGAUUAAAUUGCUCUGACUUUUUUUUAAAAUGAUCAAUUUGCUCAAAAUGAAAAUUGAGAGGAAUCUAAAAGUCUUUGUACCCCGUUCUUAUACAAUACCAUAUAUAAGUUGUGAAUUUAGUUUUUGUACAUUAAUUUAAUCAAUUUCAGUCUUUGUUCUUUUUAAAUUUAAAGUUUUAGUUAUAAUUCAAAUUGUAAAUGAAAUUCGUUUCAUUAUAUUAUGUUAUUGGUCUUAUACUAUAAUUACAGUUGUCAAUUUAAUUCAUAUUUUUUAAUUUUAUCUUUUUUAGUUGUUAUACUUUUAAAAUUUUAAUGCAAACGAAAAUAGUUAAAUCUAUUAAACGUAGAUUUACUAUGUGUGCAAUAUAUGAAAAUAGCAGCUAUUAUUUGAUCAAGACUAAAAUUGAAUAAUACGAAAAAUACAAAAAUUAAAAUUAAAUAAAUUAAAAGAUAGAGAUUAAACUCGCAAUUUAUUCAUAAUACAUGAACUAAUAACAUAAUUUAACUUAUUUUUCUUAAUACUCUUAAAUUAAAAAUGACACUUAAUAAACUACAGGAGUUAGGUGAAAUGACAAAAGUCUCUACUACAUUAACCAGUGGUUGAAAGUUUGAUCAUCAUAUUGACUCUUAGUCUACAUUUACCCUUUUAAAGGACUUAUAAAAUGUAAAAAAUUAAUUAUUUGACUCGCUCUAGGAACCUAAUAACACUACAAAGUUGGCUUGUAAUUUGUGUAUCUAAAACAAAAGGGAAAAAAUGUUUUGUGAGGCAAAUUCCUUCAAACUGAAAGACAUGGGAAUUUUGGCAACUGGAUAGCAAUAACCUAACUUGUUAGGUGAAACGAACCAAACUAAAGCAUAAACGACAAUCAGUUGCGCUAAAGUUAGGAUGUCUGUCACUUUUUAAUUUUUAUUAUACAACUUGCUUCACUAAACAAAUACUAUUUAAUGAACUUUUUAAUAUUCUCACUCUACUUUUCAAUAAUUCAUAAAGCUAAUAAAUAUAUUAUAUUCUUUCAAAUUACUUUUCUUUAAAUUAUUUUUUUCUUUAUUUUAAUUGAAAAUUUUUAUUGUAUUAAUUUCAUAAAAAUAUUCAAAAUUUUAAUUUAUUCUUUGAUUUCUAAAUGUGUUUAGACAUUAAAUAUUAGUUUUGAUAUGAUGUAAAGUAUGCCUAAAUUAAAUUGUAAAUUUAUGUAUACUUACAUCAUUAAUAACUUAAAUCUUAUGCGUUAAAAAAAUACUGUUAAUAAAUUUUAAGAUGAUUAACACUUUAAACUGUUAAAACGAUUUUUAAGUAAAAAUCAUGUUGGUACUCUAACCGGAAUGGUUAUACUCUAGCUACUUGGGUUAACUGAUAAUAUUAUAAAAAGUAGAGGAUUAAAUUACAUCAAAUAAAAUUAUGGAGAUUAAAUUUUAAAUUUGAGCAUAAUAGAGGGAUCAAAACUACAAUUUAACUCUUUUUAAGUUCAAAUAUUUUGUUAAAUGAUUAAAUCACUAUUUGAGGCUUGAACUUGAAACCUACUUCUAUAUUGGGGUUUGAACUUUUUUUUGUCUAAAUUGGUCUCUAUACUUAGUAAUUGUUCUUAUAUUGGGGUUUGAACUAGGCCAUUGUUUUUAGGGGUCGGGAUUAAAUUGUUUAAUUUUACAGUAAUAAAAAUGUAAUUUCACUAUUUUAAUAAUCUAUCUUUAUAAAUUUUAAAGGUUUAAAUCAAUUUUUUUAUCAUUUGAGAGGUUAAAGUGUAAUUUUACCUUAUUAAUUUAAAAUUUUAUAAAUUAUAAAGAGUUUAAAUGAAAAAUUUUCUAUUUUAGGGGAAGCUAGGAUCUUGCCAGCCCUAGCUUUGACUUGAACUUGGCAGUUGUUUUAGGGCUUAAACUUAACAAUUGUUCCUACAUUGAGGCCUAAGCUUUAGAGUUUUCAAAGAAACAUCAAAGACUAACUUGAAAAAAAAAAUUAAACCCCAAUAUAAAAAUAAUUACUAAAUUUAGGGACUAACAUAAAAAAAUUAGACCCAAUAUAAAAAUAGUUACCAAUUUUAGGAAAAAAAAAGUGAUUUAGCCCUUUGCCCAACCCCAUUCAAGUUACCAAACGAGAGGAAAAGAACAAAUUCCUAGAAAAUCUACAAUUUUGUGCGCUAGAAAAGAAAAUACAAAUAGUCGUUUCAGUAUAAUUUUCUCGGAAAAUAACCAAAACCCAGUCCUUUAAGCUUCAACGUCCAAAGAAAAAAAGAAUGACUGCAAGUCAUUUGGUUGCUGAAUCCGUGUGGAAAACAAUAGAGUCAACUCAUUCAGGUCUUUCUUUUUUUCCCCCCUUAUUUAUUCUUUCUCUGUAGAAAUUAAAUUCCAUCUUCUUCUUUUUUCCUUUUUUAAAUCCCUAAAUUUUGUGAUCUUAUGACCCAAAUUGGCCAGUAAAUGAAGAGCAACUAUCAAUGUAAGGAAUAAUCAUUUUCUUUUAAAUCUUUUUAUUCUUCGGCUUUUUAAAAUAAAAAUAAAAAUAAAAAUGGUGGGUAUUGAUUAAUUUUGAACUUUCUUUUAUUGUAGCUUGCAUUUUCUGUUUGGUAAAAACUUCGAGAGAGCAACAAGGAUAGUUGACCAAAGGGGUGUCAAGAAAAUCUCCGGUGAACCCAGUGGUCGUUUUAUCUUUCAGGUUCAUUCUCUUUGUUUCUAUCUCAAUUUUUGAAUAUUGGUCGAAUUCUCCUAUUAGUCCAUGCACUCUGCAUAAAUUGCAGAUUUAAUCCAUGUUCCUUGAUUUAAUGUUUUUAAUGAUUUUUUUUCUAAUUUUAAAACUUUAAUUUUAGUCUCAUGUUAUAUCUAUUUAAUUAAAUUAAAUUAUUUUAUUUCAGUUAAUAAUUAUUUUAUUCUAUAAGGUUAGGACAGAAAAAUCUAAAUAUUAUAAAAUUAAAUUGAUCAAAUUAAAAUAUGUAGACUAAAUCUGUAAUUUAGGCAUAGUAUAUAUAAUAAGGGCAGAAUUUGACAUAGAAUAUUUGGACAAGUCGGCUACCUUAUGUGAAAAAUGUGGUCAUUUUGGCAAAUAUUCCAUUUUAAGAACUUUCCUGGAAAGUUUUCUGAAAAUGUGAGCCUUGAGAUAAAACCCGAAGUAGAAUUAAGACACAUCAAUAUAUAUAUCCAUUUGUAUAUCUCAAUAUAUAUAUAUAUAUAUAACAUACGCAUGUCUAGUUAGAAUAUUUAGACAAGUUGUCGGCCACCUUAUCUGUAAAAUGUGAUCAUUUUGGCAAAUAUUCCAUAUUUAAGAACUUUCCUGGAAAAUUUUCUGAAACUAUGACCCAUCAAGGCUCUUGGCAGAAUCGUAAGAUAAAACCUGAAGCAGAAUUGAGACACAUCAAUAUAUAUAUCCAUUUGUAUAUCUCAAUAGAUAUACACAUACGCAUGUGUGGUUAGAAUAUUUGGACAAGUUGUCCUCUACCUUAUCUGUAAAAUGUGAUCAUUUUAGCAAAUAUUCCAUCUUAAGAACUUUCCUGGAAAUUUUUCUGAAACUAUGACCCAUCAAGGCUCUUAGCAGAAUGGUGAGAUAAAACCCGAAGCAGAAUUGAGACACUUCAAUAUAUAUCCAAUUGUAUAUCUCAAUAUAUAUAUACAUACGCAUGUCUAGUUAGACUAUUUGGACAAGUUGUCAUCUAUCUUAUCUGUAAAAUGUGAUUAUUUUAGCAAAUAUUCCAUCUUAAGAACUUUCCUGGAAAAUUUUCUGAAACUAUGACCCAUCAAGACUCUUAGCAGAGUCGUGAGAUAGAACCCGAAGCAGAACUGAGACACAUCAAUAUAUAUAUCCAUUUGUUAUAUAUAUACAUACGCAUGUCUAGUUAGAAUAUUUGGUCAAGUUGUCAUCUACCUUAUCUGUAAAAUGUGAUCAUUUUAGCAAACAUUCCAUCUUAAGAACUUUACUGGAAAUUUUUCUGAAACUAUGACUCAUCAAGGCUCUUAGCAGAGUCGUGAGGUAAAACCCAAAGCAGAAUUGAGCCACACCAAUAUAUAUAUAUCCAUUUGUAUAUCUCAAUAUAUAUAUACACAUACGCGUGUCUAGUUAGAAUUUUGGACAAGUUAUCUACCUUAUCUGUAAAAUGUGAUCAUUUUAGCAAAUAUUCCAUCUUAAGAACUUUCCUGGAAAUUUUUCUGAAACUUUUUUUUUCCCAUUGUUUGGUGCUUUAGGUUGUGGGAGAAUCUAGAAGAAAAGAAGAAUAUUUCUGUUUUGCUGAACAUUAUUGUGCUUGUUAUUCAUUCUUUUAUGAUGUAAUUAACAGAGCAGAACAGCUUUGUGUAAGAUUUCUUUAUUCCCUUUUCCCCCUUAUUUUAUUGCAUUUAAUAUAUAGGUAAAAAUUUUGAAAUUGAGCAAAUUGGUCCCUCUAAAAAAUUAUAGCAAUUUAUCUUUGUCAAUUCCGAAAGUGAGCAACUAAAAACAAUUAAUCAAAUUUGUUAAAUCAGAACAAAAUGGAAAGAAUAUGUAAACUUUGAGAGCUAAAUUAUUUAUUAUACCAAUUAAAUUUAUGUACAAUUGAUGAAAAACAUUAAUUUUGUGAUUAAUUAUUCUUAGCUGCUCACUUUUGAAUUAAAAGGGAUUAAAUUACUCCAAUUUUUUUAGAGGACUCAAUAUGCUCAAUUUGAAAAUUGAGAGGGACUGAACUAUAUAUAUUUGCUUUAUUUUCAUAUUUUGUUUUGUUUUUUGUAUAGUGUAAGCAUCAAUUAGCUGCAAGGCUUGCUGGAUCAUUGGGAGCUUGUAUUGAAGUUAAAGUGUCUGAUGAACAGCUAGCUGUAUUACUUUCAGAGCUCUAAAUUUUUGUAGUAAAAUCGUAGCGGGUCGGAUCCGAAAUUUAAUCUAGUCGGUUUAUGCAGUUACCUUUAAAGAAAUGACAUUUAAUAAAUAUGAUUUAAUUUUCGAUAAAUAAAAAUAUUGUUUGUAUGUUUCACAACAAAAAGAAUGAACAAAUUAUAAUCAUCAAAUCAAGGGACAAUAUUGUGAGUUUUCAUCUUUUUAAUCCAUGAAUUGAACGACGUUUUCGAGUUCCGGAACCCCACAAAUCCAUGUUCUUUGCUCUUGUUCAUGCUAUCCAACAGUGACUUCCCCGAAAGCACCGAAUCAACGAACUGCCAUGCUCCGGCAUCAUUCAAUUUCAUCGGCAAAAGAUCGUUCUCCCUCACGAUGUUGUCCCACACCGGACCUUUGUCUUUCAUCAUUUCAACCAAGCUUGGCACCUUCUCUUCGGUUUCUUGAAAUCCGUAGUGUUCGAUACCAAACUGGUCAGCUAACACUUUCCAUAAGUCCUUCCACUUGAACACAUCUCCAUUGCUACAAUUAAAGGCUUCGUUUUUUGCUCGCCGGCUCAUUGCUGCCCAUAUUUGAUGUUCUGCAAUCAAAUCCGCAUCCGAUGCAUCCCAAUACCCUUCCCACGCUUGUCGGUUCCCCGGAAACCUCAACGGCUCGCCUUCAUGCUUACAUAUCGCCGCGUAAAUGCAUAAACUCCGAACUAUAUUCAUCGAACUAAACGGAGAAAACCCAAAAACCAAUCCUGGCCUAUGACCUGACCAUGUCAAGUUCUCCUUCUGCUUCACUUCUUCCAACAAAACAUCCUCGAGCGUAUAACAAAAGUUUGACGAUUUAAGCCUCGGAAGAUCCUCGCGAAAAGGAGGAUCAUGCGGCUGAACAUGAUAUUUUCCGUACAAAUCAAUCGGACCAGUGUAAUGCCGCCGACCGGUUUGCAAGCAUAUAUGUUUCAACUUGGGUGAAUUCGGGAUUACCGCUUUCAACACGUUCCGUAACAUAGUGCCAUUGAUAACGCAGUUUUCAUCUUCAGUUGAUCUCUUAUCCCAUGCAACAUAAAACACAUGAGUCACAUCAUUAAGCUUUGAUAAUUUAUCAUAUGUUUCUUCUUCAUCUAAAACAUCGCAUUGUAUGUACUCAAUAGGCAAAUGACUAGUCGAGGCUGGUCGAGGCUGACGAGCAACACCGUAGACCUUCCACGGUCCGCCGGGAAUACCGGAGAACGGAAGAAUCUCGGCGAGACUGUUACCGACUAUGCCGGUGAUGCCAAUGACCAAAGCAACACUCUUGUAUUUGGAUUGUUUAUCAUGUUCUUCCAUUUUCUUCUGUAAAAAAAAAAAAAAAUCUGGGUUCAUUAGAUUAAAUGCAAAGAAAGAGAACCCAAAAAAAUGAAUGAGCAUUAACGUACCUUGGCAGCACCAAUGGCUCCUGCCCACCACCAACUCAUUGUAUGUUUUUUUUUUUUUUUUUUGCUAUUAAUGAAAAAAAUGCUGAAUUACAUCCUUAAACUUUGUCUGCAAUGUUUUUAUAGUGAUCCGCUUUGACAAAAGUGACGUGGGAAUUUAAAAAAGGAAAAAAAAACAAUCUUAUCUAUUUACAUAUAUCAACUACAGCUCAACAAGAACUUGUUAUCAAUUUGAUUUCUUUAUAAUAAUAAUAAUAAUAAUAAUAAUAAUAAUAAUUUUAGUUCGGAUAAAUUAUAAAAAUAAUCACUUUUGUUUGUCUCUGAUUACAUUUUAGUCACUUAUGUUAUCGUUUUGUUACGAAGUGGUUACUCUACCGUUAAACUCCGUUACCUCCCUAACGGUAGUCCUAUGUGACAAUCUAAAUGGAUUCUAAAUACCAACUUAGAUGUACUACGUGACAAUCUAAAUUAAAUUUAUUUAAUUAAAAAUCUAUUAUCAUCCCAAUUACUGGACAUUUAAAUUGUCAUUAAAAAUCUAUUUGGACUGCCAUGUAAGAUAACUGUUAAGGAUGUAAUGAAGCUUAAUAGUAAAGUGAUUACUUUAUAACAAACGAUAACGUAAGUGACUAAAACGUAACAUUUUAAACAUAAAUGACUAAAAUGUAAUAUGAGGCAAAUAACAAUGACUAUUUUUACAGUUUACCCUUUUAUUUUUAAUUUAUUUGAAUAAACAUGGAUACAACACAUAUAUAUUAUAUAAAAUAAAUUAAGUGGCGGAAUUUUUUUAAAAAAUUCAGAAAGGACGUGGAAAAUGGGUUAAUUGAUGAAUAAAUGUGUAAAUCCUUCAAUAAUUGAAUUGGUCAUAUUAUUAUUAUUAUUAUUUAUUUUUUAAAACCGGCCAACACAUAAAGACUAAGGAUUAGACAGCUAGUAAACACAUCAGCAUAUAAUAAGCUUGCGUGGAGAACCUAGCGUCUAAGGAAACAAUACAUCGUUAUCUAUUCACUAAAUCUUCUAAUGCUAUGCAAAAAAAGGAUAGAAUUUUGUGAAUUUUAUAAUUGGAAAGUUGGAUUAUGUUCGGUUUGUAUUUAAGGAUAGGAAAUUAAUAUGAAAUUUGGCUCUUUUUUUUUUUUUAAAUUGUAUUCCAAGUUAGUUUUUUACAUAAGUCAAACAAAACAUUUUAAGAAUAUUUCUUUUAAGCGGAUUGAAUUUUAGUUUAAUUAGCAUAAGUAUUAUUGUUAAUAUCAGAGAAUAUAGAUUUAAGUAUGUUGAAACGUUAGGUCCGUUCUUGACAUUGUUGGGGCCUUAGAGAAAAUAAUAAAAUAGGUUUUAAGUUCCUUAAAAGUUAGAGAAUUUUAAAAAAAUAAUUUUAGGCUCCUUAACAACUAGAAAACAAUAUUUUAGACCCCUUUCAGUCUUGGGCCUGGGAGGCCGCACCUCCAGAUAACCCUCAGAGUCGACUUGUAAAGUGCAUUAUCCUCUUAUUUAUAGGUUCGAGUGGGAUAUGAUUAGAAUCUAUAAUGAGAUUGUUAAAAAAAAUAAUUUUAAAGCAAAAAAGUUUUAAGAUGGAUUGUGAAUUUAAGGUUUUUUUUAAUGGUUACAAGUUGCUUGGAAACAAAAUAUUAGUAAAUUAGAACAGAAAAAUAAAUAAAUAAAUUGAAAAAAUUUAGUUUGCCGAUAUGAUAAAUUAAUUUUGUUUAACAUUCGUUGUAACAGCGGUUAGAACGAAAACAAGCAACAAAAAAAAAAGAGAAAAAAAGAACCGACAUAAUUAAUCUUUGUUAACGCAAUUUACACACAGUGGUCCCACAUUUGUGGAAUUUCGCCCAGUGAAUAAUUUUAUUCAACAAUCGUUCGGAUCACCUAUUGGCUUAAACUCAAUUACCUUUACACAAAAGAAGUAAUUCAAGCUUCAAUACUGACCCCUAUUGUCACAAAUCACUCACCCAAAUACCUCAUAAUAUGAUAGACUUUAAGCUCCUAUUUAAAAGCUGAAAUUAUCUCAUUGAUCGUCCUGAGUCUUAGUACCCUAGGGUGAAUCAAACUCAGUAUAAACGAAACCUAUUCAAGGCCCAAAUCAAUACCUAAGUAGAGAAACAGUUUCGUUAUAAUUGGACAUAAAACGAGCAGCAAUUAUCCCAACAAAAACAUAUUGUGGAGAGCAAGCUAAAAGAGAAACUUAUUCCUAAGUUGGCAAAUGCAAAUGCAAUUGCUCAGCUGUUUGUUUCAUGCAAAACUUAGUUGGCAAUUAACAAAUUCAAAUAGGCUCAACAUCUUUAACCUAAUUGCAAUUUGAAUUCCUUCCUUCAAAGAAAUCCUUCAACAUUUUUAUCUCUUUGUGCAAGCACUAUUGUAACAAGUCCAUCUUCUUAGCUUUCACUAGAGUCAUCUUCUUAGCUUUCACUAGAGCAUCUGUGGUGAUAUGGAGUUUACAGUAAACCUUAUAAGAAUGGGGAGUAACAAUCCUCUUUUGUCCGAUGACUCUUUUGUUUUGGGUAAGAAAUUCCAAAAUUCAUUUUACCUUCUUUCCAUGAAGAGCAAAUGAAAGUUGUGUUAUUGUUUAUGAGAAUGCAUGAAAGUGAUCUAGAGUUGAGUCGAGUUUUCUUUACUAUCUUUUUAGAUCAAUCUUGUACAUUUUAUACCAUUUGUCAUAUAGAAUUUUGGGUUAACUUCGUUUGGCCCGCAAAAUUGAUGUUAUAUGUCACGUUAAACAUUCUAAAAAAGUAAAUGGUAAAUUGGAUUAAUGGUCAUCCAAUUAUGAUUUUUUUUUUAAUCACCCAACUAUAAAAAAUUACAAAAUGGUUAGUCAAUUACUAGUAAAUUUUUUUCUUUUUUUUGUCAUUAAAAUAUGAAAAGUGACAAAAUGAUCUCCAUUAUCACUUUAACCGAUUGGUGACUAAAAAAACAUUUGAAUAAUUAGAUGACUAUUUUGUAAAAUUUUCAUAGUUGGGUGACACAUCCUAUUUGAUAUUUAAAAAUAUAUAUAUAACGACCUUGAAUACAUGGUAUUAGAGCCGCCUAUGAUUGCAAUUCCACAUUGAGUGCCCAUAGGUUGGAUCAAUAGGUACUCCGAGCCAAAAUCCUAAGUGUGUAGUGGUAGAAAAUAACGACAAAUACCCAUGACAAACGCAAUACGAGUUUAGAUGGAGAAGAAUAUUAAGCGAAACACUAAAAAAUUAGAUAACAUUAUUAAUACCACAUCAGAAAACAAGUACACUUGAACGCUCUAGGAAAGCAUAUGACUAAUAUCACUAGGGGGGUUUAGCUAGGUACAGCUGAUGGUCCCAAGUUGAAAGGGACUCUUGAGUAUAGCUGAUGUUUUGACCUUAGCCCUAUAUGGUAGGGGCAAAACACUAUCUAUCGGGUGUGUCCGCACCCAAUGAGAUAGAUUUUUGGUCAUCUAGACUGAUCGGUCUAUGGACGCCUCUAAUCCAGCUGACUUAUCCUAUUUUAUACACAAAAAUGUUGAAAUCUCUAGAUAAUGAAGAGUAAACUAAAAACAAAUAGCUUCCAUUAACAAGGCAUGGUGUUAGAGUUUAGGGUUUAGAACUAAUAAAGAAUCAUGAUUGCAAGCCAAACCUGGAUCAUUCAUAUACAUUAGAUGACAAUGAUCUCUGUAAGUUUUUGCAUUAAAACUAGGUUUGAGGAAACAUCAAAAAUGAAAAUCCAAUUUUCAGACAUAAAAUACUUCAUUAAUUACAUUAACAAAAGGCCUAUCAAACAUUCCUUUAGAAAACAAUUUUGAAAAGACACUGUUAACUGCACAUAAUGAUUUAUAUUUGACUUGUAUAAAAGCAAUUGUACAUACCUUUUCAAGAUUUUCAAUUCCCCUCUUUCUUGUUUCAUCUGCUAUAUAAUACAAAGUUCCCCAUCAGCUACAUGCAUAGCUAAAUAGAGCUUUAGGCAUUCAAAAAGCUAAAGAAUACAUGUUGGCCUCGAGGAAACACACAGAAUUGUGCACAACGUCACAUUUCAACUUUCUCUGCAUGCUUGAAUUGAUGAACACAACGAACAGUGCUAACACAAUACUAAAAAGGUUUUCUUUAUGGAAGACAAAUUUCUAUGACCAUUUUUCCACAAUACGCUCUGAUAAUCUAAUUUCCUCAUCCUUGGAAAUAUGUGGAUCUAGCUUCUGAAGGCUGUCAAUAAAUGUCUUUGCCUCAUCACGCCGAUUGAGUUUACAAUAUCCAUCAACUAUGGAAUUGUAUGUAUUCUGGUUUGGUUUACAGCCGUGCUUGAUCAUGAAUUGGACAACAUCAAUGGCUUCCUCAAACAAGGAAUCAGCUGCAUAACUUGCAACAAAGGUAUUGUAAGUGAUAACAUCUGGAACAAGGCCGGAAUCACUCAUUUCUGAAAAUAUCCGAGAAGCCUCUUUCAUUCGACCGUUUCUACAAUAGGCAUAAAUAACAGUGUUAUACGAGAUUAUAUCUGGUUUUAUUCCUUUUGCCUGAACUUCCCUUAAAAUUUGUUCUGAUUCCUUGAACUUUUCAUAGCGGCUAUACAUAUACAUCAAACUGUUGUAGGUCGUCAAGCUCGGAGUAUACCCACACUCAUUCAUGAAGUUCAAGAUCUCGUUUGUCUUGGAAACCAUCUGCCUCCUGCCAUAUAUGGAGAGCAUGGCAUUUAGAGUAGUUAUGUCAGGUGGAAAUCCUUUCUUCCUCAAUUCCAAGAAAGCACGCUCUGUGUCCGCAAGAAGGUCACAUUUACUAUUAACCAAAACAAGAGUCUUUAACAGCACAGCAUGAGGUUCGAUGAUACCAGAGUAUAUCUCUUCUGCUAGGGCAUGCAUCUGAUCUACCUGCUUCCCAUUGGCAUAAACAUGAAGCAAAGAACAGUAGGUUAGCUCAUUGGGUUUGCAACGACCGUCUCUCAUUUCAGCCAGUAUUUUCUCAGACUGCUUCCAAAGCCCUCCCCGUGCCAAUGCCGCCAAAACAGCAUUAUAUGUAGAAAGGUCGGGGGUAACUCCAGCUUCCAGCAUUCUCUUAUAAAUAGCCAUGGCUUGAUCAAAAGCACCACAGCGACUGUAUGCACUAAUUAAAGUGUUGAAUGUGUCCCUUUCAGGUACAAACCCUGCCCUCUUCAUCUCUUUGAACACUCCAGACACUUCUACAUCCAUUCCAUUUUGCCCAAAUACUGCCAAUAGCGUAUUCCAAGUAACAAUAUCCGGUGCACCAUUGCAUGCCUUGAUCUCGUCAAAAAUCUUCAUCAUCUCAGUGAACUUCCCGCGGUUACCGUGCAUCUUAAUUAGAGCAUUGAAAGUGCAAAUAUUUGGCUUGCAACCAGAAGUUCUCAUCUCCUCAAAAACCGCCAUUGCAGACUCAUCUUUUCCAGCCUUGGCAAAUCCCGACAAAAGAGUGGUAUAGGUAAAAACAUCAGGCUUAAUCCCUUUUCCCUCCAUCUGUGUUUUCAAGUCCAUUGCUUCCUCCAACAAACCAUCCCUAGCAUAAGCGGAAAUCAACGAAUUAUAAGUCACAAUGCUAGGGGCAAACCCAUUAAGUUCCAUCUCUUUUAAAACCUCCAUAGCUUCCUUCGGACGCCGAGACUUCCCAUAAACAUCCAACAAUGCAUUGUAAGUAACAUUAUCUGGACUAAAACCAGCCAAUUUCAUUUCAUCGAAAACCGAAGCCGCUUCCUCAUGCAAAGACCCUCGACGACAGCUACUUAUAAGCGUAUUAUAAGUAUAAGCAUCAGGGGCAAUUCCAUCACUUUUCAUCCCAUCAAAAAGAGUCAUGACCUUACUCCAAGGCAUGCCCAUUUUACCAUACACAUUCAAAACCACAUUAUAAGUUAUCAAAGUAGGCUUACAGCCCUCUUCCUCCAUUUUCUUAAAAACCACCAUGGCUUCCCUAUACCUCCCACUACCAGCAUAAGCAGUUAUCAAUGAAGUAUAAGCAUAAACAUCAAGACUAAACCCUUCUUUGUGCAAACCAUUAAACAAAUUAGCUGCAACAGAAACCCUCCCCUCUUUCCCUAACAUACUGAUAAUAAUAGCAACAACAGAGCUAUUCAACACCAAUCCACAAUCAUUUCUAGCUCUAACCCAAUUGAAAACACCCCAAGCCAAGUCAGAUUUCUUGUAAAAACCCAAAGCUUUAACAAUUCCCACCACUUCCGCAGCCAAAAAAUCAGCUUUCACAUCUGGGUUUUCUUGGUAUUGUUCAAACAAUUUACUCAAAACAACAUCAAGUUGAUUAGAAUCAAAAGAAGGUUCAAUUAAGGAAUUAAGAACCUGCUGACCUUGAGCAGAGAGGUUGUUAUGAGUCCAACGCUUCCCACGGUUGACGUCACGUGACCGGCCGAGACGGUUCCGGGUCCAGACUUGUGGGUCGAUUUGUUGUUGGGACUUAGAAUUAUGUCGAAGAAGGAGGUCUUGAAAGACUGGAGUCGAGGGAGCAGGUGAAUUGGGCUGUGAAGUUGGGUUUUGUUGAGUGAAGUGAGUGUGGUUUGAUAAUGGGGUUUUAACAGGUGGGGGAUUUGGAAGGAGAAGAGGGAGAGCAAGCCUCUCUGCCAUUAAAGAGAGGAUAAGAAAGUUGCAGCCUUUGUAUCUAUGGCUGAGUUAGAAAUAGAGAAGGAGAAAAAAAAAAAAAGGGUAAUUGAUAAUUUUAGCAAACAGUUGGUGUGCGCUUUCGUUAUUACUUGCAGAGUCCACAACCUUUCUUCUUUUUUUUUUUUUAGAAGUCUAAGGUUUAAAGGGGGACAUGACAAAGAUAUAAGGAGGAUAUUUUAGGAGGGAAAGGGAGAUUAUAUUCGUCUGUGGUUAAGAAUGGACUAUUGAAAUAUUCUGACCAAUAAAAGGUUGCCACGUUAACUCUGAAGGCGGACUCUUAAGUCAAAAUUUGUGACGUUUGCCCUUCAGGCUUAAACCUCUUCAGAUAUUUGAUUUUAGGAUUAGUAAAUACAAAGUUAGUUCGACUUAGACAAAUUAUACUUAUUUAAACAUUUUUUUAAUCAAAUUCAUAUCAAAAACUACAUAUUUUUAACUGAAAAUGAUUUCCGAUAAUUUAUAUUUGUUUUAUGAAAAAUAAUUUAAUCAAUAAAAAAUGACUUAUAGAUUAAUAAAAAAUAAUAUAUUUUUCCUGAAAAUUGAUUUAUCAUUUUGAAAAGGGUAAGUCAUUUUCUAUAAAAAAAAACUCUUUUAUUUUUAUAUAAAAAUUAAUUUAAAGUCAAGCUUAAUACUAUUAUAUUAAUAAUAUUUUUUAAAUAUUUAAAAUAAAUAAAAUAAUAUUUAUAUUUUUUAAUAUUAUUAAACAUAAUUAUUUAAUUAUCUAUAUAUAAUCAUAAUAAAAAUAAAUUUAAUAAAUUAUUUAAUAUUUCAAUUUUAUUUUAAAAAUAAAUUUUGAAAAUAAUAAUUUUAAAUGAUAUUAUUCAUAUUGUAUUGAAAAAUAUUCAAUAUUAAUAUUUUAAUAAUAAAUGUUUAUUACAAUUAUAAAUAUAUUAUUGUUAAAUAUUUUGUAGUAUAAAUGUUAAAAUAUACCAUAAGUAUAUAUACUCUUCACAAAUUUUAAAUUUAAUCCCUAUACUUUUAUUUUCAAGAAUUUAGUCCCUUUACUUUUUAUAUUUGAAAAUCAAGUCCAAUUGUUAACAUUGUUAAACUUUUUUGUCAAUUUUGUUGAUGUCACAUUUUUAAAUAAAAAAUAAUCAAUAUUCAUGUAACUAAAAAAUGACGUUAUAAUUAACAUGAAUUUAACAAAAUUAAUAAUGCUAAUAGAUGAAUUUUGAUGUCUAAAAAUUAGGGCUAACCCCAAAAUAAAAGCACAUGGACUAAAUUUCAAUUUUACGAAGAAUAUAAGGACUUAAGACAUACUUUAACAUAGUAUAAAAACAUGUAUAUUUUAAUUAUAUAAAUAUGAGUAUUUGUUUAAAUAAUCCUUAACUUCAUUUAUCCCUUAAAACUCUAAUGUGUCAAUAUGUACUCUCAUAUAUGUAAUACAUAUAAUUUAAAUUAAGUUUUAAUUAAGCAUUAUUUAUUAUUAAGUUUAUAUAUGACAUUGAUUAUUACAAAAUAUUUUCUUAUUAUUAAAUAAGUUUCGAUUGUCAAAAGAAAAUUGCACUGUAAUAUUUUAUAACAAAUAUAUCUAUGUCGUGUUUGCUUUACAAAGAACAAUAUAAAAUAUAAAUUUAUAGACUCAAUUAAAUAAUGGAAAUAUAAGAAAAUAUCACAUGUAUGUUUAUUUAAUUGAAAACUAUUUUUAUGAAAUAUUUUCAAGAAAUCUGUCAAAUAUUUUACGUAGAUUCAUCCAAUCACCAGAAAAUAUUAACUUUUCCAAAAUAAUAAUUCAAUUUUUAGAAAUAAUUUUUCGAAAUCAAUUUUUAGUGAAACAAACGAAACCUAAACUUGAAAGUCGUAAGUUAACUUAAUGUUUUUUUAGGUACUUAAUACUAUUAAAAAUAUGUUGACAUGACAGUAACGAUCAAUGGAAUUGUGACAAGUGAUAGCCUCACAUUUUAACUCGUGGCAAAAAUAUAUUUAUUAUAAUAUUUUUAUUUAUUUUUGCCACGUGUUGAAAUGUAAGGCUAUCACAUGUCACCAUUAUAUUAAUAUUGCUUUUAAAAAGCACUUCUAAGAUAAUAAUAAAAAAAACUUUUGAAAUAGAUGCUUUUAAGCUUUUCAAAAGUGCUCUUACGACCAAAAAAAUAUUUUGAAAGCAUUUUUUUUACCAAAAAUAGAAGCGAAAAGUUUUAGAACACAGCCUCGUCCAUGGAGCCAUUCCAAGCCAAAGAUUGUUAAAAGCUAUUGGUACUUGAUUAGGAAUAGAUUUAAUAACAUUCAUAAACAUUAGAAAUGCACUAAUAAUCUUUGCAUUAAACAGUCACUACAAUAUUAAGAAAUCCAGAAACAGAAACCCUUAAGGUACUUUCUAUUUGCAAAUUGGAGGAGGAACUAGGCAUUGUUUUUCUUCAAUAUUUUCAACAAAAAAAGAUAGGCUCCAAUAGACAAAGGUUAUUUGCCUAUUUCGCAAACUGAUUUUGCUCUCUCUCGCCUUCUCUAGAAUCCAUCAAAGAAAGUGAGGAUUAAUCAACCCGGCGAUUUCAAGAAAUUCGACACGAUCUUUGCCUCCGAAUAUCUUCUUCAGCUUGUCAUCGCAAAUUAUAAACCUCUUGUUAUUGGGGUCCUAGAGAAAUUGCAAGAAAGAAACAAGUCAGUUAUAGGCUAAUAGCUUGGCAAUGUAAAACAAAAGAUACAGAGCUUGAAAUGCGUAUUCGAUUUCUAAAGUGAAACUAGCUAAAGUCCGUGAUAGCUCUCGUUCACAACCAAAGAUACACACACCACUCGCAAGUCACAACGCUUAUCUAGUAAGGAUCAGCGGCAUACAUACAUACAUAUAUAUAUGAAACAUUUCUCAGGCAGGAAUACUAGUAAAGCUUUGAGCCAUCAGCUUCCGAGCUAGUAGUCAAAUGCAGAACAACCAAAACAAGUUUGUGUAAAGGUCAUUAUGAUGAAUACCAAAAAGGCAGGCAACAACAUUAAACUUGUCAAGGUAUCGGCUUUCUAGGCUCGAAAGCUUCUCUUGUAUUCAAGAAGACUUAACUGUCUGCAAGGCCAUCACUGGCAGAAUAAAGAUACGACUCUUACACAAAAGAAUCUAAUCGAGAUAUGUAGAUAACUCAUAACAAAGAAGCCGAUAGAGCAUUAUAAUCAAAUAAACUACACAUCUAGACUAUGUUCAUUGACUUCAAAUACAGAAACCCAUCUAUAAAAUCCAGAGUUCCAAAUUCCUAAAAAUCUUAAGGCAAAUGUAUGAAAAUCACCCAAUAGAAUUACUGUCAGUACCAUAUCUGUAUGGAAGAAGAUAGAGCAUCAACCAUGAAGCAGCUUCAUAAACAGCUAAAGAAAAUUUUUUUAUCCAUAAAGCAAAACCCAAAGCAAAUAAAUCUGAACUUCAUACGUUUAGAUAUACAUUCACUCACAAUAACCAGAAAUAAAGAUAGAAUUAAAAACCCAUUCAAAACCUCCAAAAACUCUUAAUACAUUUUCACAGCAAACAAACACAACCAUAUAGUUUAAAGAGGCAACGAAAGCAGCUAAUGGACCUGAAGAUUGUGCUCUUUAAUAUAAGCCCAAAUCUGCUUAAGAACUUCAGUUCGAGGGAUUUCCGGGACUCCCACGAGAGCUUGCAUCUCAGGCGACACAGGGCGGGGCUUCAUUAUGCCACGUGGCUUCCGGGGACCGCUGUCAGUCUUUGAAGCCGUGGCUUGAGUCAGGGUUCGUACCAUGCGCACGUUAGUUGGAUGAAGAAGACGGAGAGAAGAGGGUUUGCCCGAGAACGACACCGUUUGGGGCGAGACAAAAGUGGAAAAUGUGGCCGAAGAGACAGCCAUUUUUUUUCUUCUUAGUUUGUCAGGAAGAAACUGAAGAACGGAGGGGAUUUGUGGUGUCCUCUUUGUUUCUGGAAAUUUGUUUUUUGUUUUUUUUUUUCCUUUUUUGAGAAUGAGAAUAAAACGAAGAAGAUGAAUUAUCUGUUUUCUUUUAAUAUUUUAUUAAUUUUCUUUUUAUAUUUAAAUGGUUUUGAAUUUUUUUAAAAAUAUAUAUUAUCCCUAAACUGCGACCCAAUAUCUUUGGGCCAUGGACAUAAUUAAACCAUUAUCAAUAUUCUAGAAAAUUCCCAUUUGUUUUGGACUUUGGUCAUAGUUAAAAAAUAAGGGAAAUGGGCUGGGCUCUUUCGGAUCCAAGGCUAAUUCCAUCCACAUAUCAAAAAUCUUGUUCUCAAUUCCUCUUACUAUUAAAAUAUUCAAUUUAGUACUUAAAGUUUUAUUUAUUAAUUAAAUCGGUAUUAUCAUUACAUCUGACUCUAAUGGUAUUUUUUUUUAUGAUAUGGCACAUAAUCCAAUUAAAUUUUAACUGUCUUAUCAUUGCAUCCGAUCAUUUAUUGGUUUUUUUUAAAUAUUUUCAAUAUAUUAAAACAAUAAUUAAAAGUAAAUAAUUAAUAUCAUGCUAAAAAUCACAAGCACCAAUGAAACAAUGUUAUAUAAUUUUUUUAUUUUUUUUAAAAAAUACUAUUUUACAAUCAUUCUAUUUAAUAUCUUCUCUAAUUUAAUUUUGAGAUUCUUAUUUUCAUUGCAUUUGUUCCAUGUGGGAGCUUAACCGUCACAUCACAUUACCAUUUAGCUUCGAUCGCCUCAUUUCAUUAUAUAUAAUGUUUCACUAAGAUUUGAGAAACAUGUAAGCUAAUCAUUCUUGAUAAUCAAAUUACUCAGACAUGACAACCAUCACUUGUCACCUACAUAUCUUUCAACUUAAGUGAUGUCACAUUUCUCACCUAAUAAUGAUCUCAGAAGGACCUAACUAACCAACCGAAACGAGACGCAUGUUCGAUAAGAUCAACCUAUAUAAGAGCCUCUCUCGCUCUACACUCUUUUCCCAUGCCCAUCUCAAACUUUUCUUCUCCUUUACCUUCUUCAUCACAUACGGUAUGACUUCCCAGCCAACCACCCUAGCAAGGUUAACUAACGUUGCUUCUUAGUAUCAACAACAUUAGUUUGAGAUUCAAUUUUACUUUUGGUUCAUUUUUCUAUCGAACUCCAUUGUUAUAUGGUUCAUAUGGUUUUACAACUUAAUAAAAAUCAAGAGAAAAGAUUUAUUAAUAAUAAGAUUUUAGUAAAAUAUCGACAACCUAGAUAAGUUAAAGCAAUCAUUUUUAACCACCAAUUUGUAAUUAAAUUUAAAUAUUGAGUUAGAAUGAUAGUAAAAUUCUUUUAAUAUUUGACUAAAUUAUUGAUUUGGUAUACUUGAUUAAACUAAGCAAAUGAUCAGUGAGUUGACUUAAUCCUGAGUCGGGCCGAUGCAAAAUUUUAAGUUUUUUUUUAGGUUCAAGUUCGGUUAAAAUUCUGUCUAAAUCCGGUCCAAAUUAAAAAUGUUAAACUCGAGUUCGACCCGACUUGCCUGUAUUAAUUUUUUUAGAUUAUUUUUGUAUAAAAAUAAAUUUAAAAAAUAUAAUACAUCAAAUACACUAAAAACAUUAAAAUAAAUGUUUCCUAACAAAAUUAAAAAUACAUUAAAAAAUCUUUAUACUUAAAUAGCACUAAGAUAUUUGCAACUUAACGAGUAAAUGCCUCUAAAAUAGUAGUAAAAUUAACAAUAAAACAAGAGUUAUACAAUAUCCAAACAAUAAUAACAAAAUAGUAGCAAAACAAUAGCGAAACAACAAAAAAAACAACUUAUUCGAACCAGGCUUGGGAACAAAAAUCCUACCUAAGACUCGAUUCCAUUUAAAAAACGGGUUUUAUUUUUUGUUUAAGCCCAUUUCAGGGGCCUAUAUUUUUACAAAAAUUCUCUCACUUUUAAGACAGACCUUCAAAUCUGGACGAAUAACUUAACCUAUAAUCAGUUGUACUAAUAAGGAGCUACUACUAUUUCACUUUUAAUAUCGUAAUUUGUAAAGGUAUACAAUCACAACACAAUAUAAGUAGAAAAGUUUUAAAUAGGCAACCAAAAAGGGUUUUAGUUGCAAAUAAGGGAUUGUUGGUAUAAGUAUUAAAUUUAAGUUUUCUUUCAUAUUAUUCUACAUUUAAAUUUUAUUAUAUAUAUUCCAUUUAAAUUUUUUUGAUUUAUAUUCAAAUAUAUUUUAAUUUUCAAUUAGUUACACUUUAUAUUAAAUGCUCUAUAAUUCUAAUUAAUCAGACCAGCUUUCUUUAUGAUCUAUUUGUAUUCUUCUUCUUCUUUUUGAAUAAUCUUAUAAUAAGUUAUUAUCGUUUCUGUUCUUUUUUGACAUAAUAUCUAGAAUUACCCAUAGUUCCUUCCCAAUCCAUAAAUAGAAGGAAAAUAGGCUUCUGCAUACUCAAAUCCACAUCCUCCUAUAUUAACAACAAUGUCUAUACUGAUUGAGUCUCAAUCUGACAAUCUAUUUGUACUCUUUAAUGCUCUAACACUUUAAAAAGGGGGUUUUAGUUGAAGAGAGCUCAUGACACUUAAUCUCACCAAAACAGGUCAAAUGAAAUGAAACCUUACUCUAAACAUGGCCUUUCAAGACAGACCAAAUGUUACAAACACAAAGCACAUUCGAGUCUCGACAUCCUCUUUCAUGUCAUUUUUCAGUUUCUUCUUAUGACAGUAACCUUAAUUGGUACGAAAUUUGAUUGAGAGAUAGCUUUUGAUUAAACCACAUGCUUUUGCAGUUGAGAAAAAAAAGAAUAAAUAAUGCCAUAAAAAGUUCAACUUCAAUUCAUCUUUGUGGAAAGAAAUGAAUGGGCCAACAGGAGGAGGAUAACCAGUUCAUAUCACUUUAUAUUUACAGAUAAUGACCGUUGAACCGAUGGGGUCCCUCUUCCCCCUUCUAUUGCUUAUUCUCUAAGCUGCUUAUGGACCACUUUUUAAUUAGUUUUCUGGUUAAUUAAUCGAGCUUCCUUGAACUAUUAUUUAGAUUUUAAAUCGAUCCUUAAACUUUAAAAUAUCAAUAUUGAUUUAAAUUUGUUUCGGGUUAAUUGUAAUCACAGGUGUAUUUAUUAUAUGAAUAACUUAAAUUUGACAUGUUAAAAAAAUAUAUCGAGUCAUUAAAACUUAGGUUUUUUUUUUUUAAUAUCAGAUUUGGUAUGCCUGUGUAAUAUGUACACAUAAGUUUAUAAUUUGAUUUUUGUGUUUUAAAUAUGUUUUAAGUUAGAUUUGAGUUUAUAUUUAAGGCCCUAGCUAAUGACCAAACUAACAGAAUGAUUUGAUUGAUAUGAUAUCGAUAAUUUGAGGACUCAAUUUAAACUCGAGGAUAUAGAGAAUUUAAUUAAAACGUUUUGAAGUUUAUGAACCAAUCUAAGAUUUGAGACAUAAUUUAAGGAUGCUUGAUAUAAUUAAUUUUGAAUUUAAUUUUUUUAAAUCAAUAAUUUUGUGAAAAUAGAUACUUGAAUUUUAGAUAAAAAGCUUUCUAAAUGGGUUUUUGUUAAAUUACUUCAUUUUAAAGGAGAUAUGAUAAUAGUUUUUUCUAUUUUAAUAAAUGGUUGAGGGUUCAAUCUUUACCUUAAAUAUAAAGUAAUUUUAAAACUCGUAACCAGAUUAUACCCAUAAAUUAAUCUCUAAAACUUGAAUGAGUAGUCCCAACUUGAAAAACCAUAAAAAGAAGAUUGAAAGUUUCCAUCCACAUGCAAAACCAGAAAUGACUAUAAAAGCAUCACAUAAAAAUGGUAACCUCAUUUAUUAAAUGAUUAUAUAUCUAUAAUAUAAAUACAUUUAUUAAAAGUUUAUAUAAAAAAUUAAAAUUAACUUUAAUUAAAAUGAAAAAACAAAGGAUUUAUAUUAAAAUUUAUUAUGAGUGAUUUAUUAUUAAUUUAAAUAUAUAUUUAUAUAAAAGUUAAUUGAAUUUUAGUUCAAUUGAUAUGGACAUUAUUACUUUUAGAGAAGGACGGGAAUUUGAAUGCGUUGAAGUGCAUUACAUAUAGUAAAUCGUAUAAGGUAUAAAAAUCUUGUUGAAACUGGUAGGUGAUAAAUAUAAUGAUAAAACAUUAUUAUUUUAUGUUUUAGGGGUGCUUUAGAAAAGUUUGGAUGAAAACAGUUUAAAAUUUUUAAAACCCAAAACAAUUUAAAAUGCAUCAUUUCAAGAUAUUAAUAUCUUUAUUUAUACUUUAUAUUAAGAGAUUUAUUGAGUUAGUGUCAUUUAUCAAUCGGUCUCAAUUCGAUUAAAAAUUAUCAAAAAUUUAUUCUUUUGAGUUAUGGUGUGUUUGAUAAACUCAAAAUGUAAGUGCUGAAAAUUUAAGUACGGAAUUUUUAUUGCUAAAUUUUAUAAAUGCUGAAUUUAUAUUAAAAAAGUAUUUGAUAAAUUAGUAUAUAUAACUAUUGACUAUAAUUAUAUUUUUUAUAAAAGUAAAUAUUAAAAUUUUAUUUAUUAAUAUAAUAUUUAUAUUAUUUUAAUUAGUUUUGAAUAAAAGAUACGUAUGGUAAUUUGAAUAUCUCCUUUUUUUUAAAUUAAAUAAAAUAAAAUAAACUUAAUAUUUUAUACUAAUUAGUAGCUGACUACGUACUUAUUUUAUUCAGCACUUUUUUGUUGAAAAUUUUAAUUAUCAAUUAAAUGAAAAUUUUGAAUAGUUUAUCAAAUAUACCUUUAAUGUCACGCGUCUAAACUUUUAUAUCAAUUUUUAAUAAACUUAUUAUAUGAAUAUUCUCACAUAUAUCACGGAUGUACAAUAAUCUAGUAUUGUUUAUGUAUUUUAAAUAUAUUCUAGAAUAUUAAAAUAAUUUUCUUUAAAAAAAAAAAGUUGUUUUUUGAGUUCUGCUUAUUGUAGUGGGUCAUAUAAAAGUUAGAGAAGAUUUGGUCAAAUUUUAUAGAAACAAAUUUUCAUUUUUAUAGAGAAUUUGAGACCCUCUAAUUUCCUCAUUAGAUCAUUUUCUAAAAAAUUAAAAUUUUCAUUUUAUUUUAUCCUUUUAAUUUUUAAUUUAUUUGUGAACUUUUAAAAAUCCUUUAAGUAAGCCUUACCAAAUUUACCAUAAAAAAUCCAAACUCAUCCUAAUUAUUUCAGUAGUAAAUAAGGCCCCAUGCUUAAAUGCAACCAUGAGCGGCUAAAACUGGAUGGGACCGAUUCAUUAAACACCAAAACAUGAACCCUUAAUUAUCCUAUGCACUAGUAAAUUGGGUCAUAGUUCAAUUGAUAUUGGUAUUAUUGUUAAUGUAAGAUGAUAUUGAUUCGAGUGUAUUAAAGUGCAUUAUCCUCCUAUUUAAAGUUUACAGAAGAAUUAUGGAUAGUUCUAGGCAUUUUAUUAAGAAGAGCAGAUAUGAUAAGAACCUAUAAUGGAAUUAAUAUUUAAAAAAAAUUAUGUGAUGAUGUAGGUUAAAUUCUAUCAAUUUUGGAUUAUAUUUACAUUCGAUAAUUAUAUUAAAUUUAAAUUUUAAAAUAAAUUUAAUUAUACCAAACAUUCCCAAACUAAAAUUCAAAUUCUAGAUUAGUCUCUAAAAUUCAAGAUGUUUUAAUUGGAUCCUCAAAAUAUUAGUAUUGCAUCAAUCCGGUCAUUCAACCAAUCUAGGGAUGAAGUGAAAAAUAUUUUUUGGGGGAUCAGAUUUAAGUUAUAAUUUUUUGAGAGAACUAAAAUACAAUCUUAAUAUUGUAAUAAUAUAAAGUUUAACAAUUUCUCAAGGGGCUAAAUUAUAAACUUUAUAGUUUUGAAGGGCUAGAAUUGAAUUCUAGAUUUCAGAAGGGUAAAAUGCAAAAUUGCCAUUGAAUUAACUUAAAAUUUCACAAAAUUUAAACAUUCUUUAGUGUUGCUCGAAAUCAAUCUUGAAUUUAACGUGAAACAUAUUUAAAAUACAUGAUUAAAUUUUAAAUUUUAAAUACGUCUCUAGUCUUUACUUAUGAAUAACUUGAAUAUAACUUGUAAAAAGGAAGAAGAAGAGAAACUCUUCUAAUAAUUUUAAAUUUUGGACCAUAAUUUAACCACAUUAUUGAAUUAACACUUUGAAAAUACUAGUAAUUAAUACUAAUAAUAUUUUAAAAUAUUGGUAAAAAAAUCUCUUCAAUCUAUACGAAUUUGAAACCGAGCAAAUUAGUCCCUUUAAAAAAACCAAAACAAUUUAAUCCCUGUCAAAUUCGAAAGUGAGUAACUAAGAACAAUUAAUCACAACGCUUAAUGUUUUCCAUAAGUUGUAUAUGGUUCUGAUUGGUAUAAUAAUAAAUUUAGCUCUCAAAGUUUAUGCAUCCUGUCAAAUUGGUCCUAAUUCAGUGUGUAAGUGUUGAGGUUAAAAUUGUUGAAUUUUUUAAAAAUUAAAAUCAAAAUGACAAAAUAUAUAAACAUUGAAAGUUAAAAUUGUUAUUAUACCAAUCAAAAUCAAGUAUAUUUACUUAAUUUCGAAAUUUAAAAAAUUCGAAAAAUUUUGUUUACCUAAUAAUAUUGAAAUUAUGAAACGUGGAGAAGCAAAGCGGAUUGAUGUAUAAGCAAAGCUUUCAUAAUCUGUCUCUCAUGCAUUUUGGGCACCAAAAUUAUGUUAAUUUGUUAGUGAUUAAGACCCUAAUUAAUUAUUAUAAUUUGGUUACUUAAUCACAACGAUUACAGUUGGGAAGUCCAAGGAUUGAGAUAUAUUGUUUGCAUAGUUCGAUAAGUACAUCAUCAAUUUGUUUGUCUUUCUCAUUCAAUUAACUUCUUUUUUUUUGACAUUUGAUUUUCCUUCUGAUUUUGAAAAUUUUGACAUUUUUAACAAUAAAAUCUUGACAUUUCACCCGUUACAUGUUUUUUUUUUAAUAGAAAAAGCAAGAUAGGGAUUAUUUAUAAACUUGUUAUUAUAUUAUGGGUUAAUGUUAAAUUUUUUUUUAUCUUUUAUAUAAAUAAAUAAAAUUGUUAGGAAAAAAGAACCAAAUGAAUAAAUAUGAUAAAUUAUUUUACGUACUUUUCCCAUCAUAUCAUCUAUGGUCCCUUUUCAAUUAUUUAAUGAUAUUUUAAUAACUUUUUUCAUGUAUUUUUUACCCUAAACUAUGAAUCCUAAACCUCAAACAUUAAAUUUUGAACUCUAAACCCGAACCUCGAACCAUGAUAAGAACUUAUAGUUUAGGUUUGAGGUUCGGAUUUAGAGUUCAAUAUUCAAUGUUCGAGGUAUAGAGUUCAAAGUUUUGGAUUUGGAAUUCAUGGUUUAGGGUAAAUUUUUUUUACCCAAAUUAUGUAUCAAUGACAUAAAAAAAUUUAUUAAAAUAUGGUGGGAAAAGUUUGUAAAAUAAUUUCUCAUAUAUAUAGUUAUUAAAUUAAUAAAUUAUAUUUUUUCAAUUAUCAUAUUUUAAAUAAUUAAUAAAUUUCAUCCAAACAUAAUAUUUUAUUAUGUCGAGAAAAUACAACUUAUUAUCAUCUGAAUUUAGUAACGAAAUUAAUUAAUUAACAAAAAGCAUGGACCUAAUUGAACAUGACAAACGUUUCAAAUAGAGACCAGAUAAAAAAUUAGCUCAUUAUUAAUUUCCCCUAAAUGCCCACGACAUUUUCCUUCUAGAGAGAUGUCACCAUGCCAAUACCCAUGGACGUGAUUCUUAGUUUUAGUAAUGUAGAUUAUAUCGAGUCUUAAUUUUUGGCACUUAAAUUUAGUAAUUAGUAUUCAAUCUAGGGAUUUGGAAAUUUUUUUCAAUUUGGUAUUGAAUUUACAUUUCGUGACAUUUUGAAAUUAUAAAAAUUAUUUAAAAAAUAAUUUUUAGAUGUUAUGUUUAUUUUAAUUUUCAGGUAAUAGCAUAACAUAAUAUUAUGAUAUCAUGUCAUUAAACUUUAACAAAAUUUAUGUUAUGGGGUUCAAUUGAAAAAAAAAACCUAAGUUCUCGGAUUAAUAUGGACAAAAAAAUUAAGGUACUAAAAUGAAUUUAAUUACCAAAUUUAAGGACCAAAAAUUACAUUAACCCUUUUAAAAUAAAAAUAAAAAUAAAAAACAUGCAACGGCUUAACUUAGCGUACAAAUUACAUUUGCCAGUUAGCCAUGAAAUGAUCCACCUCAUCAUAUCUCUAUAUUAGAUGGGGCCUACUCGGCUUUCUUCUCAUUUAUCCCAUUUACCCUCCAUCUAAUUUAUUUAUUUUUAAUAAAUUGAUAAUUUAUAAAUUUAUAAAUAAAUUAUCUUUAUAAAUUAUUAGAAAACUAUUACAAAAAUUUUACUUUAAUUAUUUUAUGAGUUAUCAUCAUAGAUGAUAAUAAUCAGAUACACACUUAUAAUUUCUCCCCAACUAAUAAAUAGAAGAAUAAUACGCUUUAAUAUAUUUGAACUUAUACCUUUCUACACUAACAACAAUACCUCAUAUCAAUUGAAUCAAAACUCAAUGAACAUUUAUCAUAAUUUUUUUAUAUAUACAUAAUAUAAUAUAAUUUAACAUCAAAUAUAUAAAUAAUAAACUAAGUCUUUUUCGACAAUUUUUUUAACCAUCAAAUAUAUCUUAAAUUUUAUUUUAUUGUAAUUUUAUAUGAACUUAUUAUAAUUUUAAUUUGUUAUUUAUAUUAUAUUUGUACUUGUAAAUUUUUAAAAAAAAUUAAAUUAAACAUGUUCAUUUUAAAAAAAAAUGUAAAUAUAAAUAUUUAUUAAAUAUAAUAUGCUUAUAAAGUAUGGUGAAAAUUUUUAUAAUAAGAGUCAAAUUGUAUUUUGUAUGUUCUACUCGAAAAAAUAGAAAAAUUAAUCAUUGUAGGUUAGUCUUUCUAAUAAAAAAUUAAAUCUAUUUUUCUUAUUAAAAAUUAUUUAAUUUUUGAAAAAAUUCUUAUAGGUAACUGUGUUUAAUAAAAAAUAUAAAUUGGAAAAAAAUAUAAAAGUAGUUUUGUUUUAGAUUAAAUGUAAAACUUUAAAAUAAUUGUAAUAUUUAAAAUUAAAAAUAUUAAACUAUUUACAACCGUCGGGACUAAAAAUUAUAUAUUUUUGAAUGAUGAUGAAGAUCGAUUCCUGGUGUAUAUAAAUACUGCCUUCUAUUCCCUUCAGUCUUCACUUCACCCUCUUUCUCAUUUCACACGGGUUGUGGCGUAGUUUAAGCAGAGAGGUUGCGCAGGAUAAAGUCUCUUCACCAUUGUUUCAACAUGAAGGUUUGUAAUAAAAAUUUGUUUCUAUCAGCAUUGCUUUGCAUUGCUAUUGCAGGAGUUUUGGGUCAAGCUCCUAGUAAUCCUCCUACGUCUACGCCGGCGCCACCCACACCACCGGCUUCUACUCCUCCUCCGACGACUCAACCACCGCCUACACCAACCGCCACUCCGCCACCAGUUUCUACUCCUCUUCCCACUUCAUCACCGCCCCCAGUGACAGCUUCUCCACCCCCAGUUUCAACUCCUCCACCCAGUUCUCCUCCUCCCGCAACUCCACCACCUGCUUCUCCACCUCCUGCAACUCCACCUCCAGCUUCUCCACCUCCUGCAACUCCACCUCCAGCUUCUCCACCUCCCGCCACUCCUCCACCAGCAACCCCCCCACCUGCAACUCCUCCUGCUACCCCACCACCAGCUCCAUUGGCUUCUCCUCCAGCCACAGUCCCAGCUAUCUCUCCAGUACAAACACCAUUGACCUCGCCACCAGCUCCGCCGACCGAGGCCCCAGCAC